GACGAACGCUGGCGGCGUGCUUAACACAUGCAAGUCGAACGAAGUGGCGAACGGGUGAGUAACGCGUAAUCAACCUGCCCUUCAGCGGGUGACAACAGUUGGAACCGACUGCUAAUACCGCAUACUGAAGGAGGGGCUUGCGUCUGAUUAGGUAGUUGGAGGGGGAACGGCCCACCAAGGCGAUGUUCAGUAGGCGGUCUGAGAGGAGGAACGGCCACAUUGGGAAUGAGAAACGGCACAGAAUCCUACGGGAGGCAACAGUGGGGAAUCUUCCGCAAAGGACGGAAGUCUGACGGAGCAACGCCGCGUGAGUGAUGACGGGCUUCGGGUUGUAAAGCUCUGUUAAUCGGGACGCGGUACCGGAAUAGAAAGCCACGGCUAACUACGUGCCAGCAGCCGCGGUAAUUC
rnacentral:rRNA from 1 species